rnacentral:rRNA from 1 species
UACGUAGGGGGCUAGCGUUGUCCGGAAUCAUUGGGCAUAAAAGCGCGUGUAGGCGGUCCGGUAAGUCCGCUGUGAAAGUCGAGGGCUCAACCUCGAAUGCCGGUGGAUACUGUCGGGCUUGAGUACGGGAGAGGCGAGUGGAAUUCCUGGUGUAGCGGUGGAAUGCGCAGAUAUCAGGAAGAACACCAACGGCGAAGGCAGCUCGCUGGGACGGAACUGACGCUAAGGCGCGAAAGCGUGGGGAGCGAACAGG